CCUGCCACCUCGAGAAGACGCGCCUGCUUUCGCUUCUGCUAUGAUUACAUAAAUUUUCUGAGGCCUCCCCAGCCACACAGAACUAAAGUGCUCCUGCGAGAUUCUGCUCCUUCCCAUGCAGAGCAGAAGUGUCUUGAGGAUGGAGCAGAGAAAUGGCCCUGACCACAAAUACAGCAAGAUGCAUUCUACCAAGUUUCCUAAAGUAAGGUGAGAUGAUGAACAUUCCUACUUUGUACCAGGCCCUG